rnacentral:rRNA from 1 species
CCUACGGGUGGCAGCAGUGGGGAAUAUUGGGCAAUGGGCGCAAGCCUGACCCAGCAACGCCGCGUGAAGGAAGAAGGCUUUCGGGUUGUAAACUUCUUUUGUCAGGGACGAAGCAAGCGACGGUACCUGACGAAUAAGCCACGGCUAACUACGCGCCAGCAGCCGCGGUAAUUCGUAGGUGGCAAGCGUUACUCGGAUUUACUGGGGGUAAAGGGCGUGUAGGCGGGACUGCAAGUCAGAUGUGAAAACCACGGGCUCAACCUGUGGCCUGCAUUUGAAACUGUAGUUCUUGAGUACUGGAGAGGCAGACGGAAUUCCUAGUGUAGCGGUGAAAUGCGUAGAUAUUAGGAGGAACACCAGUGGCGAAGGCGGUCUGCUGGACAGCAACUGACGCUGAGGCGCGAAAGCGUGGGGAGCAAACAGGAUUAGAUACCCUGGUAGUC